GUAUUCAUUUUGGCACCACAUAAUACUAAAAUUGUAACAAUACAGAGAAGAUUGGCAUGGCCCCUGCACAAUGACAUGCAACAUUGGCAAGCGUUCCAUAUUUUU